rnacentral:tRNA from 1 species
UGGCUAAGUGGUAUAGCGUCUCACUAGUAAUGAGAAGAUCACUGGUUCGAUUCCAGU